rnacentral:rRNA from 1 species
UAAGGGCGCACGGUGGAUGCCUUGGCACUAGAAGCCGAUGAAGGACGUUACUAACGACGAUAUGCUUUGGGGAGCUGUAAGUAAGCUUUGAUCCAGAGAUUUCCGAAUGGGGAAACCCAGCAUGAGUUAUGUCAUGUUAUCGAUAUGUGAAUACAUAGCAUAUCAGAAGGCACACCCGGAGAACUGAAACAUCUUAGUACCCGGAGGAAGAGAAAGAAAAUUCGAUUCCCUUAGUAGCGGCGAGCGAAACGGGAAGAGCCCAAACCAACAAGCUUGCUUGUUGGGGUUGUAGGACACUCUAUACGGAGUUACAAAGGACGACAUUAGACGAAUCAUCUGGAAAGAUGAAUCAAAGAAGGUAAUAAUCCUGUAGUCGAAAAUGUUGUCUCUCUUGAGUGGAUCCUGAGUACGACGGAGCACGUGAAAUUCCGUCGGAAUCUGGGAGGACCAUCUCCUAAGGCUAAAUACUCUCUAGUGACCGAUAGUGAACCAGUACCGUGAGGGAAAGGUGAAAAGCACCCCGGAAGGGGAGUGAAAUAGAACCUGAAACCGUGUGCUUACAAGUAGUCAGAGCCCGUUAAUGGGUGAUGGCGUGCCUUUUGUAGAAUGAACCGGCGAGUUACGAUUUGAUGCAAGGUUAAGCAGUAAAUGUGGAGCCGUAGCGAAAGCGAGUCUGAAUAGGGCGUUUAGUAUUUGGUCGUAGACCCGAAACCAGGUGAUCUACCCUUGGUCAGGUUGAAGUUCAGGUAACACUGAAUGGAGGACCGAACCGACUUACGUUGAAAAGUGAGCGGAUGAACUGAGGGUAGCGGAGAAAUUCCAAUCGAACCUGGAGAUAGCUGGUUCUCUCCGAAAUAGCUUUAGGGCUAGCCUCAAGUGAUGAUUAUUGGAGGUAGAGCACUGUUUGGACGAGGGGCCCCUCUCGGGUUACCGAAUUCAGACAAACUCCGAAUGCCAAUUAAUUUAACUUGGGAGUCAGAACAUGGGUGAUAAGGUCCGUGUUCGAAAGGGAAACAGCCCAGACCACCAGCUAAGGUCCCAAAAUAUAUGUUAAGUGGAAAAGGAUGUGGCGUUGCCCAGACAACUAGGAUGUUGGCUUAGAAGCAGCCAUCAUUUAAAGAGUGCGUAAUAGCUCACUAGUCGAGUGACACUGCGCCGAAAAUGUACCGGGGCUAAACAUAUUACCGAAGCUGUGGAUUGUCCUUUGGACAAUGGUAGGAGAGCGUUCUAAGGGCGUUGAAGCAUGAUCGUAAGGACAUGUGGAGCGCUUAGAAGUGAGAAUGCCGGUGUGAGUAGCGAAAGACGGGUGAGAAUCCCGUCCACCGAUUGACUAAGGUUUCCAGAGGAAGGCUCGUCCGCUCUGGGUUAGUCGGGUCCUAAGCUGAGGCCGACAGGCGUAGGCGAUGGAUAACAGGUUGAUAUUCCUGUACCACCUAUAAUCGUUUUAAUCGAUGGGGGGACGCAGUAGGAUAGGCGAAGCGUGCGAUUGGAUUGCACGUCUAAGCAGUAAGGCUGAGUAUUAGGCAAAUCCGGUACUCGUUAAGGCUGAGCUGUGAUGGGGAG